rnacentral:rRNA from 1 species
UGGGGAAUAUUGGACAAUGGGCGAAAGCCUGAUCCAGCCAUGCCGCGUGUGUGAAGAAGGUCUUCGGAUUGUAAAGCACUUUAAGUUGGGAGGAAGGGCAGUUACCUAAUACGUAUCUGUUUGACGUUACCGACAGAAUAAGCACCGGCUAACUCUGUGCCAGCAGCCGCGGUAAUACAGAGGGUGCAAGCGUUAAUCGGAAUUACUGGGCGUAAAGCGCGCGUAGGUGGUUUGUUAAGUUGGAUGUGAAAUCCCCGGGCUCAACCUGGGAACUGCAUUCAAAACUGACUGACUAGAGUAUGGUAGAGGGUGGUGGAAUUUCCUGUGUAGCGGUGAAAUGCGUAGAUAUAGGAAGGAACACCAGUGGCGAAGGCGACCACCUGGACUGAUACUGGCACUGAGGUGCGAAAGCGUGGGGAGCAAACAGGAUUAGAUACCCACGUAGUCCCUGAGCGGGCUGGCAAGGCGCAU